GUCGUCGUCCGAUUACCUUGUUGGUUCCUAGUGAGUCUGCAUCAAGGUUGCAUCGAGAUCCUGAAGUUCCUGGGGUCUUACGGAGAGUUGAGCAAUAUAACCGCCAUUUUGGUCGACAUGCCAAUGGCCUUCUCCAGAGAAUGCAAGAUCUUCCGUUUCUCCUCCGAAGAUUACUGCGAGAUAUGACAGAUCCUCAAAGAUCUCUUCCGUUUGUCAUCAGGGCGCGUGUCUAUUUGGCAAUGUUUUUAAGUGGUAUAUACAUCCUUAGCCCCGUGGACCUUAUCCCUGAAGGUUUUUUGGGUAUAAUAGGUUUACUAGAUGAUCUGAUUAUCAUGUUCAUCUGUUUCCUUCAUGUUGCUGCUCUGUAUAGAUCAGUUCUUCUGUUUCGG
rnacentral:misc_RNA from 1 species